CCGUGCAGCCGGGGUGGUAGCGGUACCUUGAACCUGCAAUCCGCUAUAGCAGGGGUGAUAUUGCGCAGAGGGCGACAGUCUGCAGGGCUGCCCCCGGAAAGUGACGUUGACGUCUGGGUCUCACGCGACGGGACUCUGUGAACCGUGUCAGGUCGGGAACGGAGCAGCACUAAGCAGAACCUCUCGGGUGCCGUGAGGGUGCCUGGGCUGAGUUAACUAUCGGGGUAACGCUUGUGGGCCAAGUUCGAAGCGCAAUGCACGU
rnacentral:SRP_RNA from 11 species